CUUCUAAAGCUGGUCCCAAAUUAUACACCAUCAGAAUUCAGACAUAUAUACACAAUUUCGUAUAUCUAUCUCUAGGCAAAAGUUAAUACACGACAUCGAAGUGGGUAGGAUGUCUUUGUGUUUUCCUUCAACACCUCACAAGUUGUGGACGACAGUGGCUAUGUUCCUUGGCGGUGCAUCCCUAUUUGGCGGUGGUUUGUAUCUUUCUUAUGUACAUGUUGCUCCUCAACAAGCUCGAAUAAAAGCCCGGAAUGAUUAUGUAAGGGAUAGAUUGAAAAAGAAGUACGGGUAUGACAAGUUCACUACUACCGACCCAAAAUAAUCCUGAAAGGUCACCAUGCUGAUGUAGUCAUGUAAGUAUGUUCUAUAUUAAGCUGCUUAUUGUAAUUCAGAUCCUGCUUAAAACAUGAGUUCAGUUUAGAUGGAACUCAAUGAGCUUUCCAUUUUUUAUAGUUUUGUGUCAUUUCAUCUAA